rnacentral:misc_RNA from 1 species
GAGCCUCUCGGUUUCUAUCUCGUACAGUUACAACACACGAGUAGGGUAAAAAAACACGAGCUCCAUUUUAAGCGACCACAAAACUGUUUUUCCGUCUCUUGCAUGCUCGAAACGAGGAAUCGUUGCCUUUCGACGUGGUUUAAUCGCGAAUUCUCGAGGAUCGAUGCGAGCUGUGUCACGGAUACCGAAGAAGAGAAAGAAAGAGAGAGAGAGAGAGAGAGGAAUGAACGAUCCAUGGAUAAAUCAGACAGCCGUGUUUUCUUUUCCGUGACGGAAGAGAAUUACGACUGAUCACUGCGACGACCACACCAACUGCUCGUUCAGCAGCGUUAUUUUUAUUCUCUUCCUGCAACAAUCUCGUUCAGUGAGAUCAGCAGUCUCGAAGACAUCCUAUACACGAGCGAGCAGAUCGAGCGAUAAGACGAACAAUCGCGAGAUGGGACACCUCGUAUCCUUUUGUCGCUAACACCACGAUGAGAUUGUACGUGAAGUGGUUAGCAGUGUAAAUAAAAUAGAAAGGAGGAAAAACAGGGACAAAUGGUCGGAGAAUUUUUUCGAAGGAGGACAAAAAUGAGACUCAGAAUGAACGUCACUCACCCAUGGUAUCUUCGGUCGUCUCGCGAAGCUAACCUUUCCACCAGGUAACGAGGAAGAAUCUCCGACGCCUCAUACAACCGAUCGUUCUCUGUUUGCCAAUCGAAUCAGCGGAUCGAUCGAUUGCGCAGUUACUCGAACGGAAUCGGCUCGCGUCUCUG